rnacentral:lncRNA from 1 species
GUGACAGAAGUCCUGCAUACAGUGGAGCACGUGGGAUCUGAGAGGCGGCGGUGCCAGUUAUUUCUGAGGCAAAAAUGUCUAAAUGCAUGUGAAUUAUAAUUUAUCUUUAAAUUAUUUUCUGUAUAUUUGGGUCUAGUGGAGGGCAUCCUUUAUACUGCUGAUUUAGAAUCUAAGAGAGAAAGAGAGAAGCUAUUAUUCCUUUGUUUGUCCAAGAGCCUUCCUCAAGUGUUUUUUUUUUUCCUUUCCCACUCAUUUUAUAAUUCUCUUGAAUUCCUGGCAUAUGAAAUAGGGGUUUUCCUUUGUUAUUAUCUUGUGCAAACUUGCAGGGCACUCACAAACCUUAAUCAAGUUACCUCAUGGGCCAGUCUAGCUCCUCUCAGAAAGCUCUUGAACCCCAUUUGCCAUUUAAAAAAAAAGUUUAAAGCUGUGUGAGAUGGUAUGACUUCAAUGUUUGAGAAGUCUGCCUUGGCUGAAUAUCUAAUCCCAUAAAUUAGGGGGAAUAAAAACCUCAUUGUAACCAGAACAACACUGGCUCUGAGACGUGUUGGGCAAAACAUGACCGCUUAGGCAGCAAAUGCGUCAGGGAGUGGCAGACCCCGAUGUGCGGGGAGGCAGUGGGAUAAUGGGAGCCUUGGGAGGCCCCGGUGGCCCUCAGGUGGGAAUAAUUCUGGAGAAAGAGCUGGUGCAGCCAGAACGGUGGGAGGGCUGCUAGUGGGGUGGAGAGAAUGAUUUAAGGAUUAGAGUUUGAAGAAGUUUGAAAGUAGAAUUUAACACUCUAACAAGCUCGGGUGAUGGAUAAGGAUAUUUUAUCCAUCCCUCCAUCCCUCCAGAUCGUCUCUUUGGAGAAAGAAUGCCUACCACAGCAUGGAGUGUCAAGCAGUGCCGUGCCUGCACCCGGGAUCUGAACCGGCGAACCCAGGGCUGCUGAGAAGCGGAAGAUUAACCUGGGCUAACAUCUGCUACCAAUCCUACUCUUUUUGCUGAGGAAGGCUGACCCUGAGCUCACAUCCGUGACCAUCUUCCUCUACGUUAUAUGUGGGACGCCUACCACAGCAUGGCUUGACAAGCGGUGCCAUGUCCAUACCCGGGAUCCAAACAGGCGAACUCUGGACUGCCAAAGUGGAAUGUGUGAGCUUAACCGCUGUGCCAUGGGACAGGCUUCUCCUUGUUGGAUCUUCUUAGAUUUUUAUUUUUAUUUUGUAACGUGGUAAACAAAGAGUUGGAAGUAAAGGUAGAAAUGUCUUUGCCAUUUUCUUGUUUCCUUGUUUUAUCAACAUUGUUUUGUCUCAGCCUGUGCUUUCUUAUCACGAAUCUUUUUCUUCCCUGAGGAAGAUUCAUCCUGAGCUAACAUCUGUUGCCAAUUUUCUUCUUUUUGUAUGUAAGCUGCCGCCACAGCAUGGCCACUGACGAGUGAUGUAGGUUUGUGCCAAGGAACCAAACCCGGGCCACUGAAGCAGAGAGUGCUGAACUUAACCACUAGGCCACCAGGGCUGGCCCCAAGAAUCUUUUUAAG